rnacentral:rRNA from 1 species
UACGGGGGGAGCAAGCGUUGUUCGGAUUUACUGGGCGUAAAGGGCGCGUAGGCGGUCAUGACAAGUCACUUGUGAAAUCUCCGGGCUUAACUCGGAACGGUCAAGUGAUACUGUCAGACUAGAGUGCAGAAGGGGCAACUGGAAUUCUCGGUGUAGCGGUGAAAUGCGUAGAUAUGCGGAGGAACACCGAUGGCGAAGGCAAUCCCCUGGGCCUGCACUGACGCUCAUGCACGAAAGCGUGGGGAGCAAACAGG